rnacentral:rRNA from 1 species
GUUGAUUCAUUGGUGCCCGUACCGCAAACCGACACUGGUAGACGGGUAGAGUAUACCAAGGUGACCGGGAGAACUCAUGCUAAGGAAUUAGGCAACAUGACCUCGUAACUUCGGGAUAAGAGGUGCUCUCUGCUGUGAGGAAACUCCAACAAGCAGCGGAGAGUCGCAGUGAAAUGGCUCUAGGGACUGGUUAACAAAACCACAGGUCUCUGCUAAGCCGCAAGGCGACGUAUAGGGGCUGACACCUGCCCAGUGCCGGAAGGUUAAAAGGAGAGGUUCGGCGCAAGCCAAAGCCUUGAAUUGAAGCCCCGGUGAACGGCGGCCGUAACUAUAACGGUCCUAAGGUAGCGAAAUUCCUUGUCGGGUAAGUUCCGACCCGCACGAAAGGUGUAACGACUGGAGCACUAUCUCGGCAUGAGACCCGGCGAAAUUGAAAUACGUGUAAAGAUGCGCGUUACCCGCAGCAGGACAAAAAGACCCCGUGGAGCUUUACUGUAUCUUGGCAUUGCGUUAGGGCUUGGUCUGUGUAGAAUAGGUGGGAGGCUUUGAAGCUGGGGCGCUAGCCUCGGUGGAGCCACAAUGUGAAAUACCACCCUGAUUAAGUUUUGACCCUAACCCCGUACCGUUAUCCGGUCGGGGGACCGUGCCAGGUGGGCAGUUUGACUGGGGCGGUCGCCUCCUAAAAGGUAGCGGAGGCGCCCAAAGGUUCCCUCAGGCUGAAUGGAAACCAGCCAUAGAGUGCAAAGGCAUAAGGGAGCUUGACUGUAAGGCAAACACGCCGAGCAGAUGCGAAAGCAGGGCUUAGUGAUCCCACGGUACUGAGUGGAAGGGCCGUGGCUUACCGGACAAAAGCUACCCCGGGGAUAACAGGCUGGUGAAGUCCAAGAGUCCAUAUCGACGACUUCGCUCGGCACCUCGAUGUCGGCUCGUCGCAUCCUGGGGCUGUAUAAGGUCCCAAGGGUUGGGCUGUUCGCCCAUUAAAGCGGCACGUGAGCUGGGUUCAGACCGUCGUGAGACAGGUCGGUCUCUAUCCGCUGUGGGCGUAGGGGAUUUGAGGGGAGCUGCUCUUAGUACGAGAGGACCGGAGUGGACAGACCUCUGGUGUGCCAGUUGUUCCGCCAGGAGCAUCGCUGGGUAGCCACGUCUGGCAGAGAUAACCGCUGAAUGCAUCUAAGUGGGAAACUCGCCCCAAGAUUAGAUCCCCCUUCUAUAUGAGAAAGACCGCCGGAAGACCACCGGUUUGAUAGGCGACAGGUGUAAGCACAGCAAUGCGUUAAGCUUAGUCGAUACUAAUGGUCGAGGGCUUACGUGA